UACGUAGGGGGCAAGCGUUAUCCGGAUUUACUGGGUUUAAAGGGUGCGCAGGCGGUCUGUUAAGUCAGCGGUCAAAGCCCGGGGCUCAACCCCGGCCCGCCGUUGAAACUGGCAGUCUCGAGUUGGAGAGAAGUAUGCGGAAUGCGCGGUGUAGCGGUGAAAUGCAUAGAUAUCGCGCAGAACUCCGAUUGCGAAGGCAGCCUGCCGCAGCGUUACUGACGCUGAAGCUCGAAAGCGCGGGUAUCGAACAGG
rnacentral:rRNA from 1 species